AGCAUUAGGGCUGCACACAUUUAAAAAGGAGCGACCAGGAGGAUCGUCAGGCUUGACAAGGAGGACCGGGUGAACGCGCGCAGGUUGAGAAGGAAUCCCCAGGACUACCCAGCAGACCCGCAGGCUACCGAAAAUAACCCCCAGAAUCCCACAACCCGCAGGGGCAGAGGAAACUCUGCCUCCAAAGUCGGGUUGCGGGGGCAGCAGCCUAAGCAGAGAAGCCCAGACUUCCCUCUCCCCAGCCACUUCGUCCAGCUCUUCUCGGGGGAUCCCGAAGCGUUCCCAGUCCAGCCGGCUGACAUAGUCUUCCCAAUGUGUCCUGGGGCUUCCCCGUGGCCUCCUGCCGGUCGGACUUGCCCUAACGAAAAAAGCAAUUAAAAUAGAGCCUGCUGACCAACAACAUCUCUGUCUGGACUGGAGCCUGCAGUGCCUCAGACUGGAAGUCUCUCCAGAGAGUGGUGAGGACGGCGGAAAAGAUCUGCAGGACUCCUCUCCUAUCCAGGAGAUCGCAAAAAGCGCUGCCUGACCAGGGCUCAGAAAAUUUGCAAAGACUUCUCCCACCCCCACCAACGACUGUUUUCACUGCUGGACUCUAGAAAGAGGUUCCGCAGCCUCCGAAGCAGAACCUCCAGCUUCUGUAAGAGCUUCUUCCCUCAGGCCGUAAGACUCUUGAACGCAUUAUAAUUAAAUUAUCCCCUCAACUCCCCUCAAAAUGGAUUAACUCGCUGGAAUAAAAAAAACAAUAUAACAUACACCCAUAAACGUGGGCGCAUGUGGAAAAAGUGCAAUAUAUUUAUCUGCACAGUAAUCUUUUUAUUUAUUUAUAUAUAUUUAAGUAUAUUUAUUUACUUUAUAUACAUAUUUAUAUUUUAUUUUUAUUUAUUUAUAUAUGCACCUUAUUGCUUUUUUAUCCUGCACUACCAUGAGCUUAUGUAACGAAAUUUUGUUCUUAUCUGUGCUGUAAAGUUCAAAUUUGAAUGACAAUAAAAAUAAAG